rnacentral:lncRNA from 1 species
UCGUAUGUACUGUUGUUUGUCUGUUUGUUAUUUUCAUUUUUAGCCAUGACGUUGUCAGUUUAUUUUCGAUUUAUGAAUUUGACUGUUCCUCUUUUACUAGAUUGUAGAAAUGUAUUAUAUUUAUAAAGCGGAUCGUUCAUGCCUUUUUUUUUAACUUGCGCAUUCAGUCAAACAUAUUACAAGCUCCAUGUACGUACAUCAUUUUACUUCUGUUUAUGUUUGAAUAGGGAUGUCUCUGUAUCUUUUGAAAAUGAGUUUCUUCAGUGUAAAAGUAUAAAAAAUAUUAUGAGGCUUAGUAAGGCAUGAUGUAUCUAGCAUUAUCACAUUAAUCAUACAUCUCUGUAUAAACUGUGUUAACAAAAAGUUAUCACAUUUCAAUUCAAAGCAGACGUGUAUACAAUCAUUUAAUAAUUUCCGAUAAUUGUUAAUUUUGAGACUGUUGACACAUUAAAAAUCUAGUCAAACAUUAAGCACAAUCAUCAGUUUAUCGUUAUGUGAUACCAUACAUGAUUACUAUUUUGAAAUAUGCUAUUGAUUGGUUUAAGAAAUAUUAAACAAUUGCAAUAAUGUGGUAUGUAUGUUUUUGUUUUAAUGUGUUAUCAUAUGUUAUUCUACAAUAUAUCACUUUGGCAUAAGUUUAUUGGAGAAGCAUAGAACAGCUGACAACCCAAGGACUAUAGGAUAUCAUAGUCAUUUGUAAACAGAGUACGUUUUAAUGCAAACAACAAUUACCGUCAUCAUAUGAUCCAUCUGCCAUUUAAGUGACAUUUGUUGUUCUGUUAACUUUACCGAAAUAAAGGUAGAUUCGUAUUGACCACUACAUCUUUUUUUCUGACACAUUAUCAUUUAUAUUAUAUACCACACCUCUUUAUUUGUUUCAAAAACAUUCAUAUACAUAUGAUGUAUUUAUAAUUAUAUCUUUAUAUAAUAAAACAUUCAUGUGUGGUCAAGC